GACGUAGGAGGCGAGCGUUGUCCGGAUUCAUUGGGCGUAAAGAGCGCGCAGGCGGUUUGGUAAGUCGGAUGUGAAAUCCCGGAGCUCAACUCCGGACCUGCAUCCGAUACUGCCCGACUAGAGGUAGGUAGGGGAGAUCGGAAUUCCUGGUGUAGCGGUGAAAUGCGCAGAUAUCAGGAGGAACACCGGUGGCGAAGGCGGAUCUCUGGGCCUUACCUGACGCUGAGGCGCGAAAGCUAGGGGAGCAAACAGG
rnacentral:rRNA from 1 species